rnacentral:rRNA from 1 species
AACGAACGCUGGCGGCGUGGAUAAGACAUGCAAGUCGAACGAGGAACCAUUAAAGCUUGCUUUGGAGGUUUCUAGUGGCGCACGGGUGAGUAACACGUGAGUUACAUGCCCUGUAGCGGGGGAUAGCCCGGGGAAACCCGGAUUAAUACCCCAUGGUCCCGCAAGGGUAAAGACGGCUUCGGCUGUCGCUGCAGGAUUGGCUCGCGGCCUAUCAGCGUGUUGGCGGGGUAACGGCCCACCAAGGCAACGACGGGUAGCUGGUCUGAGAGGACGAUCAGUCGCACUGGAACUGAGACACGGUCCAGACACCUACGGGUGGCAGCAGGCGAGAAUCAUUCACAAUGGGGGAAACCCUGAUGGUGCAACGCCGCGUGGAGGAUGACGGUCCUCGGAUUGUAAACUCCUGUCAUCUGGGAGUAAGACCUGACGGUAAAUAGCCGGCAGGGUUGAUAGUACCAGAAGAGGAAGGGACGGCUAACUUCGUGCCAGCAGCCGCCGUAAAAC